CGAGUGGCGGACGGGUGAGUAAUGUCUGGGAAACUGCCCGAUGGAGGGGGAUAACUACUGGAAACGGUAGCUAAUACCGCAUAACGUCUGCGGACCAAAGCGGGGGGCCUCCGGGCCUCGCGCCAUCAGAUGAACCCAUAUGGGAUUAGCUAGUAGGUAAGGUAACGGCUUACCUAGGCGACGAUCCCUAGCUGGUCUGAGAGGAUGAUCGGCCACACUGGAACUGAGACACGGUCCAG
rnacentral:rRNA from 1 species